CCAAGGCCCAGCAGGCUUUGCGUGCGCCGCAAGAUGGCGGCUGCCACACUGAAACACCUGUCCCGGGUACCCCAGUCGCGAGUCUGGGCGCGCAGGCUGCGUGCGGUGCGCUCAGGCGCUCGGGGAAUCCUGGCAGCGCCAAGGGCCCGGGGCCUGUUCCAGCAGUUCUUCCCCGAGAGCGGCACGAAGACAGAGCUCCCCGAACUCUUCGACCGUCGCAGGGCGGGCUCGUCGCCCCAGACAGUGUACUGCGGUUUCGACCCCACGGGCGAUUCGCUGCACGUGGGACACCUGCUAACGGUGUUGGGUCUGUUCCACUUCCAGCGUGCCGGCCACAACGUGAUCGCGCUCGUGGGCGGCUCCACAGCCCUCCUGGGAGACCCCAGCGGCCGGACCAAGGGGCGCGAGGCGCUGAGCGCGGAGUGCGUGCAGGCCAACGCGCGCGCCCUGCGGCAAGGGCUCGAGAGCCUAGCAGCCAACCACGAGCGGCUGUUCGCGGACCGGCGGCCCUGGGGCACGUUCACGGUGCUGGACAACGCGGCCUGGUUCCAGGAGCAGCACCUAGUGGAUUUUCUGGCCACUGUGGGCGGCCACUUCCGCAUGGGCACUCUACUGAGCCGGCUGAGCGUGCAGUCUCGUCUCAAGAGCCCCGAGGGCAUGAGCUUGGCCGAGUUCUUUUACCAGGUGCUCCAGGCCUACGACUUCUACUACCUCUUCCAGCACUAUGGAUGCCGGGUUCAGCUUGGCGGAUCAGAUCAGCUGGGCAACAUCAUGUCUGGAUACGAGUUCAUCCACAAGUUGACUGGAGAAGAUGUAUUUGGAAUCACUGUUCCAAUAAUUACAAGUACAACUGGAGCAAAGCUGGGAAAGUCUGCUGGCAACGCGGUUUGGCUAAACAGAGAGAAAACAUCACCAUUUGAACUUUAUCAGUUCUUUGUCAGACAGCAAGAUGACUCUGUAGAAAGGUACCUGAAGCUCUUCACUUUCCUGCCCCUUCCAGAGAUUGAGCACAUUAUGCAGCUACAUGUCAAAGAACCAGAAAAGAGGGGUCCUCAGAAACGACUUGCUGCAGAAGUAACAAAGCUUGUUCAUGGACAAGAAGGUCUGGAUUCUGCUAAAAGAUGUACACAAGCCCUGUACCAUAGCAGCAUAGAGGCACUGGAGGUCAUGUCUGACCAAGAGUUAAAAGAAUUGUUUAAAGAAGCUUCAUUUUCUGAAUUAGUUCUCGACCCUGGAACAAGUGUCAUAGACACAUGCCGUAAAGCAAAUGCCAUUCCAGAUGGUCCCCGAGGGAAUUUGUCGGGGAGAUUUUUCUCUCCACAAGAAUAAAUUCUGAAAGUGAAUCUUCAUUUAAAACUAUUAUGAGGUGAAUGUGUCAAAAAGUUGAUAUAUUUGAGCCUGCUGGUACAGGCUGUAAUCUCAGAUACUUGGCAAGUUGAGGCAGGAAGAUCAAAACUCUAGGACCUGUCUGAGCUGCAGUGUGAGUCCAGGUAUCGGAUGAUAACAGAAGGUGGAGUCAGUAUAAAUCACAGACAGGUAACAAAUCCUGAGAGUGUCCUAGUAAUUGGACAACACAUUCUCAAGAAUGGACUUUCCUUACUUAAAAUAGGAAAAAGAAAUUUCUACAUUAUAAAAUGGCUUCAAUUGUAAUUUUGUCAAAAUUUGUCCAUCUAUUUUCAAAAAGCAA